AUGUAGUUUAUAAACCCGUAUUUGUUACCUAGAAAUUGUAGAUACGCGGUUUGAUACUUUGGUUGGGAAUGCUAGUGUCUGUUGGACCCGUCAGAUGGGUACCUAGGCACCUAUUAGCUCCUAUAAACUAGUACUUGGAAACGCGUUAUUCCCCUAGAGAUAUUUCGCCCACACUACAACACUAGACUUUCGUAUUUUGUUGUAACGUGGUCUCAGCGCCUUGAGCAGCGGGCGCGCGGUCUUGCAACGUCGCACUCUCGACCGACGACCUCGCGUUAUCGCCCGCCAGCGCGCGCGAUACGCAAAAGGGUCACCAGUCGCCGCGGCGCUCGCCGACGCCUAAUGUCUUCAGUCAGCAUCAUCAAUAUAAACAAUAGCAGUUUCCACAUUGAACACCAUAAGCACACCGUGGAAAUAACUAUUGCUGCGACGUGGCGACGCCGCGCUCCGUCUCGUUCUCGCGUGUCCGCCGUCUCCUAGCUCCGCCCCUCUCCGACCGCAGCGCCGCCGAGCGGCCGCGACGGGAAUGUACACGUCGCUCGAAAUCUACACGUUGCCACUCCGUACCAAUAAUUUCGCUGGACGUAAAUUUUAACCUAAACAGUUCAAUGUACUUUUCGGAAAAUCAAAACGCGUCUGUUUCCACAAAACGUCUUAUGUUGUACCGGUUAUUGUAAAAUAGUGUUGUAAAACGUUAUAUUUUCGUAUUACUGUGAUAUCUAGUGAUAGUUGCGUGUCGUGCGUGUGAGAAAUUGUGAACACAGUCCUGUUGGAGGAUUUUAACACUGUUUCUAGCUAAAAAGUUGGUGCAGUGUGGGCUUGGCCGUGUGCAGUGUCCGUGCUAGUGUAUGUGUGUGUGUGAGUGCCCGAUGGCGCGGAGCUAGCGGCGUGUCCCGGCAUGCGCGCCGCCUAGCCAUGCCCGCUGUGCACCAUCCCACAUGGCGCAAUACACACAAAGGACUCAGCCGAUGCACAGGUAUAAGAGUUAACGUUAAAGGAAUAUUGGGUAAGGCUAAGUUAGAAUAAGUUAUUUGUACCGUUAAGAACUAUAAAAUAUGUAACUAAAUACUUAAAUAAGUUCAAUUAGUCAGCGUACAUAAAUUUAAAUUAUUUCCCUAAAAACUUUAGAAUCCUAAUGCGUGAAGUUUUUUCGUGCGUACAGGACGAGUAUACUGCCAAGUAAUUUGGUUAGAGAAUUUUGGCGCGCAUUCCACGUGUCUUGUUUGUAGACGUUCCAGUCGCUGCGUUCGGGUGAAUAGAAGACUUUCUUGAGCCAACUCUCAUGUGAAAUCUUUUGCAAAUUCGCCCUUAUUUAGCUUCGUAAAUGACACAGUGCGUUGUUGUAGAUAUUGUGCUAGUUUUAGUAUUAAUAAUUAAAAUCACCAUACUAAUAAUACUACCAUUUGUGUGUGCCAACGGAUGUCAAAUAUUUUAUGUCGCUACAAACGCCUCUGAUGUCUCCCAUAGCACGAAACAAGUGACACACUUUUAAAUGUUCCAGACAUAAUGUAAAAACAUAACGUUCUGUGUUGGAAUCACAUAUAAACACUCUAUUAAUGAGCUAACACCACUUUUAUACCUUUAAUAUACUUACUUAUAGCAUUUUGUCAUUAGUUUUAUCAAUAAUCUAAAUCCAGGUUAACUAUAUUAUAAUUUUAAGCUGAUGAAAGUGACCACGCAAUACGCCAUAAUAUUUUAAGCUCACUUUGA